rnacentral:rRNA from 1 species
GAUGAACGCUGACAGAAUGCUUAACACAUGCAAGUCAACUUGAAUUUGGGUUUUUAACUUAGGUUUGGGUGGCGGACGGGUGAGUAACGCGUAAAGAACUUGCCUCACAGCUAGGGACAACAUUUGGAAACGAAUGCUAAUACCUAAUAUUAUGAUAAUAGGGCAUCUUAUAAUUAUGAAAGCUAUAAGCGCUGUGAGAGAGCUUUGCGUCCCAUUAGCUAGUUGGAGAGGUAACGGCUCACCAAGGCGAUGAUGGGUAGCCGGUCUGAGAGGGUGAUCGGCCACAAGGGGACUGAGACACGGCCCUUACUCCUACGGGAGGCAGCAGUGGGGAAUAUUGGACAAUGGACCGAGAGUCUGAUCCAGCAAUUCUGUGUGCACGAUGAAGUUUUUCGGAAUGUAAAGUGCUUUCAGUUGGGAAGAAACAAAUGACGGUACCAACAGAAGAAGUGACGGCUAAAUACGUG